GCCCAGGGCAGGGUGAGGGGCUGUCCCGGGGUGGGCAGGGACGUCCCGCCGCGCUCCGGCAGCCGAGCGGUUGUGGGCCCUGCCGCCGCCGGAGGCCGGUCCACGCCGGCCCCCCACGCAUCGUCUCCGCGCCUGGCGGGGCCCUGCGGCUCCCGGGAGCCUGGGCGGUUGAAGGCCGGUGAACCGCCGCGUCUGUGCUCUCGCGGCCGCCCGACCUUGUCGUCCUUCUCUCUCCCCCGCUGGGGCCUCCCCGCCCGCGUCUCCCAGCGCGGGCCGCCGCUUCCUCGGCCCUGCCCGCAGGCCUCGCCCCUCCCCCAACCGCCCGUCCCGUCCCACGCCGAGGGAGCGCUGCCACCUGGGCCGGCACUUUUCUUCCGCGCCGUGCCGCGGGGCGUCCCUUCCUUCCGGGCAGUCGCCCUCCCCUAUCGCCGGGCUUCCUUCUUCGCGGGGCGCCAUCUGGGAAAGCCGGGCAGGAAGAAACAUGGCUCCCGGGGACAAUGCACGCGGGGACCGAGGCUCCACCUCCCGUGGGGGCCCCGGCGCUGACAGCUUAUUUCUCCUCCAGCCUCAUGGAGACCCCGCAGUCUUUGGGGACCUUCCUCCUUCACAGGAAUCCCCUUUCCUGGUGUUGGAGUCCAGUUUGGUUUCAGGCCGUUCCUACUUUGCAGACCGCCGCACUUUUUCCGUAUGGAGGAUACUCGCCCUAUUCUUUUUAUUUUCUAGUUAUUUAUAAGCACUCACCACAUCUGUGGCCUGGCUUUUCUUUUACUGAAAGUCAGUGGAGUGUUAAUAGUUGGAAGGACCUCUAGUAGUUAUCUAGUUCAAGCCUCUUAUUUUACCGAGGAGGAAACCGAUUCAGAGAGAGGCCGGUGUUUUUCAGACAUCUUGUCAUUAGUGUGCCGAAAUUGUGGAGUAUUUUGCUGUUGAAUGCCUCACUCAUGAUAUCCUGCCUUUUACUAUUUGGGCUUCUAGCCUUGACUCCAUUAUUUACAGACUUUAGGCAAUUGGGGUUAAGUGACUUGCCCAGGGUCACACAGC